AUCUUUCACUUGCUCAUACAUUUUAUUUCCUUGUAAUAGUAAAGAGUUUGUUUCACAGAAGCUGCUCUGAGAACUAGGGGAAAAAUUAAUUAAUUUUUCUGAUACAACAGCUGUUCCAGGAAAAAGCAGACAGCCGUGGGAAUCAGCAAGGACAAGACAGCAGAGGAAUGCAGCUGUUGAUCUCCUUUAAAGCUGUAUCUAAACUGGCCAAACAAGACACAUCAUUCACCUCUCAUGGCUCAUUGGUGCAGCUCCACUGAUGACAGCAGCAUUGGAAACUGUUGUGAAGACAGUGCACAGGCAGACUUUGACAACACAUGGGGAAAAGCCUUGGAAAAUAUAUGGGCUUUGCAGCCUGCCUGAAGGUCAACAAAUCCAGACUCUGUUGGACCAAGAUAGAUUCGUCUGUCUAGCUUCAACUUCCAGCCAUUGGAUUGUGUCUUUCUCAGCUAGAUUGGAGAGCCCAUUAAAUAUUUGUUCCCCAUGUAGAUACAAAUAGGCUGUAAUCAAGUCACUACGUAACCUUCUCAUUGUUAAGCUAAAUAUAGUCUAUCCUUCCCCUGCAUGUGCACUCCUCUGAAUGUCAGAAUUGAGUGUGCUUGAAGAUCUUGAAGCUGAGGACAGUACUCUGUCAGUCCAAUAAAACAGUCCAGCCAAGGCAACAUGUGUCAGAGCAACUCUAGGUUUGGAUCAUUCCUAGCUGCACAACCCCUCUGAAGAUGGGAGUUGUUUUAACCGAAGGUCAGGAACCCUGGAUCCUGGUUAGUCCAUAUAGGGUGACCAGACAGCA